GCUGCGAUGGCCGAGUGGUUAAGGCGUUAGACUAGAAAUCUAAUGGGAGCUUCCCGCGUAGGUUCAAAUCCUACUCGUAGCG
rnacentral:tRNA from 1 species